rnacentral:rRNA from 1 species
GAUGAACGCUGGCGGCGUGCUUAACACAUGCAAGUCGAACGAAGCAUUUGCGACAGAUUUUUUCGGAAUGAAGUUGCUUAUGACUGAGUGGCGGACGGGUGAGUAACGCGUGGGUAACCUGCCUUGUACUGGGGGAUAGCAGCUGGAAACGGCUGGUAAUACCGCAUAAGCGCACAAUGUUGCAUGACAUGGUGGGAAAAACUCCGGCGGUAUAAGAUGGACCCGCGUCUGAUUAGCCAGUUGGUGAGAUAACAGCCCACCAAGGCGACGAUCAGUAGCCGACCUGGGAGGGUGACCGGCCACAUUGGGACUGAGACACGGCCCAGACUCCUACGGGAGGCAGCAGUGGGGAAUAUUGCACAAUGGAGGAAACUCUGAUGCAGCGACGCCGCGUGAGUGAAGAAGUAAUUCGUUAUGUAAAGCUCUAUCAGCAGGGAAGAUAGUGACGGUACCUGACUAAGAAGCUCCGGCUAAAUACGUG